GACGAACCGUGCGAACGUUGUUCGGAAUCACUGGGCUUAAAGGGCGCGUAGGCGGACCGCCAAGUCCGCGGUGAAAUCCUCCAGCUCAACUGGAGAACUGCCGCGGAUACUGGAGGUCUCGAGGGAGGUAGGGGCAAGCGGAACUGUGGGUGGAGCGGUGAAAUGCGUUGAUAUCCACAGGAACUCCGGUGGCGAAGGCGGCUUGCUGGACCUUUUCUGACGCUGAGGCGCGAAAGCCAGGGGAGCAAACGGGAUUAGAAACCCCCGUAGUCC
rnacentral:rRNA from 1 species